rnacentral:tRNA from 1 species
ACCUGGCAGGCUCAGUUGGUAGAGCAUGUGACUCUUGGUCUCCAGAUCGUGAGUUCAAGUCUUGUGUUGGGUG